ensembl:lncRNA
GUGAUUCACAGUGACAGCAUACUGCUGUUAUGGACACCUCGAAGAGAGAGGUCUAAUGCAUUCACACUCUGAUGAGCCAUAAGGGGAUACUGUUGCAGAUGAUGGCACAUCUCCCCAGAAGCCUUUGGCCUGAAUUUAGCGGGAUACGCCAAGUCUCAAGGCCUGUAUCUUCUGUGUUCUCAGUUCUCAAACUGAAGAGUUUGAUCAAACUCUCACUGGAAUCUAAAGCAUAUGGAAUAAUGCCUGAAGAUGGAGCUGUUUACAAACUUCUGCGGGAUAAAAGGGAACCUAUUUGCAACACAGACUUCACAGAAACAAGCAUUGUAGUUACUUUUAUCAGAGUUUGCCCUUCCAGAUUAAUGGUGUUGAACUUCUCAUGCUGACCAGAGGGAGCCCAGGAAGAGAUGAAAAGCACACAAUCUACAGAGCAAUAGAGCCUCUCCCACAUGUUCUUGUACAACUUAUAAAAUAUAGUGAUUGCAGAAACAUCUGAAACACAACUGAAGAGGUGGCUUGGGACACUUACUUUCAUUUUACGGACAACACUCAGAAAUCAUCUUUCAGCUUAUUCUACAGUUACUCCCAAGCAGAACAGAAAUUUUUGUACCUAAGCUCCAUGUCUGUAAAAACUGAACAAAAUAGCCAUGAUCCUAAUACUUCUAAAAUGCUUUUGAGACCAAAUGUUGCAUAUGGGAUGAAAAGGAAUGUAACCCUUAUUAUUGCUGUAGAGUCCAGUUUCUUGAUUUUCUGACAGAUUAUUAUAAUCAUUAAUGAUCUAAGUAACUCGUUUUGUUAGAAGUUAUAGAGGAUAACUCCCCAAAAUGAUCAGGUCUUCAUCUCCUUUCUCUAUUUUAUAAAUUCAUUUACUCACUCAUUUGUAUCAGCAUAGAUUUCUGCAAACACAGCUUACAAGAACACUCUAACGGGGCAGAAUUUUCUAUCCUUUUCUCUCAUGGGCCACUGAAGAAACAGCUUUUCAGUCAUAACAGAUUGAAACUGCACGCCUAUGAGCCCAGAAGACCUUUGAAACCAUAUGAAUUAAGAAUCCAAAGCACAACUGAAGAAGAAAUGAACUUAAAUCAAGGCACCUAAAUGACCUGGACGUUUCUAAAACCUUUAUGCAAACCUUUAUACAUAUAUACAACCAGUCAGUUGCUAAGAAUCUCUGCAAGAAUACCAUGCAAUAGAAAGGUUUUUCAUUUUUUUUUUUUUCAUUUUCUUUUUCCCCUCAGUCAAAACCAAAUAAAAAAACCCAUUCACUUAAGAAGCGAUUGUCUGUAGACCUUUGAAGCCAAGGCGGGUGACAGCAAGGGCAAGAGGCUUAUUUCAAGGGUCACAUUUCAUUUGCAUAAGCAAGUAACCAUAGGGCACUGUGGAAUGUCUGUAAAUGGAUUUCAUUACAGAAAUUCAGCUUAAAGGGACUAUAAAUAAUCCUCUGACAAACAUUGUAUAUUGCUUCAAGUUCUUCUGUAAUAAAAAUAUUUUAGUAACACAACAAUCCGUGAAAGCAGGAAAUGAAACAGGAGGAGCUGCUCAUCUUCUCCUUUUCUCUCUCAGGGCAACAUUAUAUUGUAAUAUGUUUUAGAGAAGAAAAAUGUGAUAUUCAUAUUAUUUUAGCAAAGUAAUCCUACAAAAACAGACUUAUAUCAUUCCAUAUGGCUGAGACAGGGUGGCUGAACAAAUACUCAGAUCUUUACUAGCUCUUCUCCCCUGGAGAUCAUCUGUUCAGCAUGGACAGGUGUGCAGGCUGCAUGGUAUUCUGCCCAAAGGAACAUCUCAAAAUACAUAUUGGUGUGUAAAUCUUACUGAAUGUAUUUCAGUGCAGAAGCUAUCUAAAUUAUGUGUUUUACUGGAUUGACAUUUUUUGAUGAUAUGAAGAAAAUAUGAAUGUCUAAAGGCCCCUUUUUGGACAAAGCAUUUAAGCAACUUGCUAACUGAAGUGCACACUUAACUCUUGAUUAUUUCUGCAGGACAUGGCUCUACGGUCAAAAGCUUACCUAAAUGUGGAGGGAUGUUCUCACAUACAGUUAAGUGCAUGCUGGAUGUUUUCACAUGUCCCUUCCCUGCACAGUCAAGAGUUCAUAGCUAGAUGGAUCUAGGUGGACAUCAGACCCCCUGUUCAACAUCAUGUGCUGAUGGUCUGAGAGGCCCAGGAAGUCACUGGAGCUUUUGCAUUUUUCCUGUGUGUAGAAACAAAUCCUUAGCAUCCCCUUAAAAAUACGUGGCUUGCCAGCUUUGAAGGGAAACUUUGGGUUAUCAUCUCAUCACUACUACAUCUCUCUUGGAAUACUACCUGGAAGGACAUAGACAGUGGCCAAAGCUCUGUUCUGUGCAGACAGUCACUUCUGGGAGAGAGUUUUGGCCAUGCCCCCAGUCUAUUACAAAAGGUCUCAACAAGCAGUCUCUUUCUACCAUUUCUAAUAAUAUACUUGCAAGGAAAAGAAAAAUAUAGGAUACUUCUUCUAAAGGAAAGAAAAAGUGGGCCCUCAAAGCAGUAAUUUAGUCAAUUAAUUUUCAUUUAUGCUAGUUUUUCUUUCCUCCCGUUUACCUUUCUAAUAACUACAAUUAUUCUCACACUGGCAUUACUGUUAUCUCUGGAAUAGAUUUGCUCACACUGAAAAAAUCCAAUUGAGUCAGAGCAUGUAACGAGAAAAUGUAAUCCAUCAUUAUUAAAAAAGACAGCUUACCUUUAUCUGGGUGUUAAAUAGUACAAAUCCAUGAGAGUCAGUGAAUGUUUUGAAGUAAAAACGAAGGGCAUUAUGAAGGCUGAAGUGGAUUUGUCACCGAAUUAUAUGUAUUACCUCAGAAAUGGCCUGCUAUAGGGUUGUAGAAAUAACAUGUUUAGGGGUGGAAAAGAGAAAAUAAUGGUAUUUACUUGUUUUCUAUACUUCCAGAGAAACUAAAUGAGCUCUUAAACAUCAGGUUAUUUUGUGGAAAAUUGCAAAACGAGAAGAAAGGUUGUUCCUGAAAAUAAAUCAUAUUUGUUUCACUCUUCAUACCUGAAUGGUGUUUCUGACAAUAUGCACGUCAG